CAAUGGACGCAAUUUCUGAUGGAACAACCCCCGCUUGAAUAAAGAAGGCUUUCGGGUCGUAAAACUCUGUUGUUGGAGAAGAAUGGUCGGCAGAGUAACUGUUGUCGGCGUGACGGUAUCCAACCAGAAAGCCACGGCUAACUACGUGCCAGCAGCCGCGGUAAUACGUAGGUGGCAAGCGUUAUCCGGAUUUAUUGGGCGUAAAGCGAGCGCAGGCGGUUUUUUAAGUCUGAUGUGAAAGCCCUCGGCUUAACCGAGGAAGCGCAUCGGAAACUGGGAAACUUGAGUGCAGAAGAGGACAGUGGAACUCCAUGUGUAGCGGUGAAAUGCGUAGAUAUAUGGAAGAACACCAGUGGCGAAGGCGGCUGUCUGGUCUGUAACUGACGCUGAGGCUCGAAAGCAUGGGUAGCGAACAGGAUUAGAUACCCUGGUAGUCCAUGCCGUAAACGAUGAAUGCUAGGUGUUGGAGGGUUUCCGCCCUUCAGUGCCGCAGCUAACGCAUUAAGCAUUCCGCCUGGGGAGUACGACCGCAAGGUUGAAACUCAAAGGAAUUGACGGGGGCCCGCACAAGCGGUGGAGCAUGUGGUUUAAUUCGAAGCAACGCGAAGAACCUUACCAGGUCUUGACAUCUUUUGAUCACCUGAGAGAUCAGGUUUCCCCUUCGGGGGCAAAAUGACAGGUGGUGCAUGGUUGUCGUCAGCUCGUGUCGUGAGAUGUUGGGUUAAGUCCCGCAACGAGCGCAACCCUUAUGACUAGUUGCCAGCAUUUAGUUGGGCACUCUAGUAAGACUGCCGGUGACAAACCGGAGGAAGGUGGGGAUGACGUCAAAUCAUCAUGCCCCUUAUGACCUGGGCUACACACGUGCUACAAUGGAUGGUACAACGAGUUGCGAGACCGCGAGGUCAAGCUAAUCUCUUAAAGCCAUUCUCAGUUCGGACUGUAGGCUGCAACUCGCCUACACGAAGUCGGAAUCGCUAGUAAUCGCGGAUCAGCACGCCGCGGUGAAUACGUUCCCGGGCCUUGUACACACCGCCCGUCACACCAUGAGAGUUUGUAACACCCGAAGCCGGUGGCGUAACCCUUUAGGAGCGAGCCGUCUAAGUGGACCAACUGGA
rnacentral:rRNA from 1 species